CCUACGGGAGGCAGCAGUGGGGAAUCUUGCGCAAUGGGCGCAAGCCUGACCCAGCAACGCCGCGUGCAGGAAGAAGGCUUUCGGGUUGUAAACUUCUUUUAUAAGCGACGAAGCAAGUGACGGUACCUGAGGAAUAAGCCACGGCGAACUACGUGCCAGCAGCCGGGGUAAUACGUAGGUGGCAAGCGUUAUCCGGCGUUAGUGGGUGUAAAGGGCGUGUAGGCGGGAAAGCAAGUCAGAUGUGAAAACGAUGGGCUCACCUUGUGGACUAUAUUUGAAACUGUUUUUCUUGAGUACUGGAGAGGCAGACGGAAUUUCUAGUGUAGCGGUGAAAUGCGUAGAUAUUAGGAGGAACACCAGUGGCGAAGGCGGUCUGCUGGACAGCAACUGACGCUGAGGCGCGAAAGCGUGGGGAGCAAACAGGAUUAGAUACCCGGGUAGUC
rnacentral:rRNA from 1 species